CCUUGCUUUUGCUGUCUUGUAAUUUUUUGUUAAAAACUAGACAUGCUAUAUCAGGUAUAUAGGAACUGAGGUAAAUAAGGUAAAUAAGCCUCUAGUGUAAGGAGCUAUGUUAAUCUGGCUAGGAGUUGUGAUUUGAUUAAUGUUUGCUAUUGCUAUAGGUGCUAGAGGCAUCAAAUUUCUCAGUGUUCCUGUUUUUGUCUCCCCUCUUGACUUUGGGCUUCCCAAACAGAAACACUCUGGUUUUUGCAGCUCUUUCCAUUGUAAUUUACUAUUAUACUAGAGCCCUGAUGGUGUAGUGAUAAGACAUUGGGGAUAGGGAGUAUUCUAUAAUCUUCCAAUUAAAUCUCCAUCUUUUAGUGGACCUAUGUCUCUGGCCUGUGACCUUCGCAAGUGUUUCUUUUUGUAUAGCGUCGAUCCUCCCCUUAGAUGACACAAGAAGUGUAGAGGGUGAUGGAGCUAGGUAAUCACUGUUACCCCACAGCUCUGAGACAGAGCUCUGGUAAAAUCUUUCCCCCUAGAGAGUAGACAUUUGUUAUGAAAAAAGCUCUGAGAUGUAGAGAGCAGGGCCUUCUUAAAUUACACAGGCCAGUCAUUGAGUUUACUGAGAAUAGAGUCCACAGACUUAGGGUCCAGGACCAGCUGUCUUUUUAUCUUCAAAAUGGAGCACAAAGUAGCUGACUCCUGCCCAUCACCACACAUACAACUCACAGGAUAUGAGAGAUGCAGUCUAGCAGAGUAUCUUAAGAUCAUGGACUAUUGGGGUCAUGAGUUCCAGUUACUACUGGAACUUACUAUCAGCUCUUUGAUCUUGGAAACAUUUUUUGACCACUCCAAAUAUCAAUUAUCCCAUAUUUACAGUAGAUUUGAUGACUCUCCUUUCACUUGUGACCCCCACUAGUUAUAUUGGGCCAAAAAGUAUGCCCCUCAUAGAGCCUGAAUUCUCUAACACCAAAUCAAAUUCUCUUAGUACAAAAUGCCAGGAGGAAUGAUGUGAGAAAAGGGCAAAAAUAUUCCCAAAUAUGGAAGUUUUCUAGUUUUCUUUUUGUUAUUAAUUAUUGAUUUCUGUAUAGGUGUAUUGAGGGUCAGAGAACAUGUGUAUAACUGCAAUCCUUUUGUAUUUAUUGUGACAUCUUUAUGACCUAAUAAUUAAUUUUUGUAAAAAUGUUUCAUGCCUACAUUUACUGGGUUCAGAGUUCUGUAUACGUCCUUUAGAAAAGUUUGUCAAAUUGUUCCAAGCUUCUUUAUCAUUUCUGAAUUUUUAUCUGCUUGCUCUAUCAGUUACUGAUAACAAUUUAAACUUAACAUAUUAAGUUUCUCAUUAUGGUUGUGAAUUUGUUUCUCCUGUGGUUCUGCCAUUUUAACAUUUGAUCAUGAAAGAUAGCACACAUAUAGAGUCACACACAUUCACAAGAUGUAGAGCUAAAUUAUUUAUUACAAAAUGAAAAACUGGGUAAUCACCACUCAUGUCAAGAAGUAGAAUACUGUUAGCAGUCCAGAAAUGCCAUUGAUGUCCCCUUCAGUCAUCCCCCUUCCUUACCACUAGAGCUAAUAAUAAUCCUGAAAUUUAUGGUAACCCUUUCCUUGUUUUUCUUUAUAUUUUAUAUCCUAAGCAGUACAGUUUAGGAUAUUGCCUGUUUUGUGAACUGUAUAUAAAUGGAACUAUACAGCAUGUAUUUUUUAUGGCUGGCAUAUUUUAUUCAAUACUAUAUACAAUGAAACUGAAUGUUUAUGUCCCUCCCCCAAAAAAUUAUAUGUUGAAAUCCAAACUUCCAAGGUGAUAGUAUUAGGAGUUGGGGCCACUGGGAGGGAUUAGUGCCCUUAUGAAAGAGACCCCAGAGAGCUCCCUCACUCUUCUACCAUGUGAGGUUACAGUGAAAAACAGCCAUCUGUGAGGAAGAGGGCCCUCACCAGACACUGAAUCUAUCACCUUGAUCCUGUACUUCCCAGCCUCCAGAACUAUGAGAAAUAAAUUUGCUUUUUAUAAGCCAUAGUAUUUUGUUAUAGCAGCCUGAGCUAAAAUGUUAUGUUUAUGGUAUGAAUCCAUGUUUCUAUGUUUAGAUUUAAUUAAUUUAUUUGCAUUGAUGUGUAGUAUACAAUUAUUGAACAUAUCACAGUUUAUGCUAUUGUUUUGUUCUUUAUAUAAAUUUAGGUUAUUUCCAGCUUUUCAAUAUUAUAUAUAAUGCGGCUAUGAAAAUUCUUAUAUAUACCUCUCAGUAUACACGUACACAAAUUUCUGUUGGGUAGCUAUCUAUGAGGAGAAUUGCAUGUUCAACUGUAAUAUAUGAUGCCAAACUUCC
rnacentral:lncRNA from 1 species